rnacentral:rRNA from 1 species
UACAGAGGUCUCAAGCGUUGUUCGGAUUCAUUGGGCGUAAAGGGUGUGUAGGCGGCGCGGUAAGUCGGGUGUGAAAUCUCGGGGCUUAACUCCGAAACUGCAUUCGAUACUGCCGUGCUUGAGGACUGGAGAGGAGACUGGAAUUUACGGUGUAGCGGUGAAAUGCGUAGAUAUCGUAAGGAAGACCAGUGGCGAAGGCGGGUCUCUGGACAGUUCCUGACACUGAGGCACGAAGGCCAGGGGAGCAAACGGG